CGCCUCGCCGGCCUCAGCGCCGUGCUCACGUGCGCGCGCGGCGUCACGUGGUGCUGGCGAUGGCGGCGGCGGGGGAGCCCGGGGCGGGGGGCGCCGCCGAGGAGGCGUUCCUCACCUUCUACAACGAGGUAAAGCAAAUUGAAAAACGAGACUCUGUUUUAACAUCAAAAAACCAAAUUGACAGGCUGACCCGACCUGGAUCUUCAUAUUUCAACUUGAACCCUUUUGAGGUACUGCAGAUGGAUCCUGAAGCCACAGAUGAAGAGAUAAAGAAAAGAUUCCGGCAGCUGUCAAUAUUGGUGCAUCCAGACAAAAAUCAAGAUGAUGCAGAUAGAGCCCAGAAGGCAUUUGAAGCUGUAGAUAAAGCAUACAAGUUGCUGCUAGAUCAAGAGCAAAAGAAGAGGGCUUUGGAUGUGAUACAGGCAGGAAAAGAAUAUGUGGAACACACUGUGAAAGAAAAAAAGAAGCAGUUGAAGAAGGAUGGAAAACCUCCCACUGUAGAAGAGGAUGAUCCUGAAGUUUUCAAACAAGCUGUAUACAAACAGACGAUGAAGCUCUUUGCUGAACUGGAAAUUAAGAGGAAAGAAAGAGAAGCUAAAGAAAUGCAUGAAAGGAAGCGGCAGAGGGAAGAGGAAAUUGAGGCACAAGAGAAAGCUAAACGAGAGCGAGAAUGGCAGAAGAACUUUGAGGAAAGUCGGGAUGGUCGUGUGGACAGCUGGAGAAAUUUCCAGGCAAAUACAAAGGGGAAGAAAGAAAAGAAAAACAGGACCUUCCUGAGACCUCCCAAAGUAAAAAUGGAGCAGCGUGAAUGAUCCUGGCAGCACUGCCCAAGUGCAGCUCCUCAGUCCCCUCCCUGCUUUUAAGGACUCAUUGGCACCUAGAAAAUCAGUGCCCGUUCUUAACAGCAAGGAAAACCCAACAUUUCCUUGUCAAACAACACACAGUGAAUAAAAGGAGCAGACAGAAACACAUGUGAUUACUUGUUAUAACACGAGUGACUCAGGUGGAUGUUAUGCCCAUGACCUAAGUGAUGCCAGUGCCACAGUACACAUCUGGGGAAAUCCCACGUGAAACCUGAGCAGAGCAAUGCCAGAGCUGCUGCCCUGGGACUGUGGCAGCAAGAGGGAGUGGGUCCCCCAUGUGUCUGUCCACCCUUUCUUCCCAAGCUGAAGGAGCACAAGAACCAGGAUGGGUUUAUAAUGCUGCACAGAGGGCAAGGAAACUAGCUGCCACAGCCUGGAAUAUUUUUCUGGCUAAUGUUUCCCCAUAUGGGGACUCACACAGCAAAGCGGUCUCAUCCUGAUGCUUUGCCCUGCUGCAGCAAGUCUCCACCUCCAAGGGGAGCAUUUGAACCAGCACUCGCCACUGUGUUGUCUCCUGGUCCCGGUAUCUGGAAGGAAAUGAGAAGCACAGAGGAUGGAUCUGCCGAGGGCGCUGGCCCCCCCUUGCCAAGCUGAGACCACCUCUGCAACCCUGGCCUGGCCGGGGAGUGUCCCUGCCCUGGAGCUGCUGCAGGGCAGAGCUACCCCAUCUCAGGCCUGCAAGGCACCGGAUGACAUGGGAGCGUGACAAGCCCCUGGCCAGCACAGAGCCUCCGCCGCUGUUUCCCUACCACUGCCUGCUUGAGGAAGGGCCACAGGAGUCCGUGUCAAGCUCCAGGGCGCAGCUGGGGCACGUCUGAGCCGUGUCACAAGUGCCAAGAGGGAAGUGAGUCACUCACCUGCGAGGGAGCGCUGCGCCCUCCUUCCUGUCCAAGCCUCUUCCCAGGCAGGAGCAUGCUGACGGCUCGGCCCUGCCAGUGGCUCGGCUCGCAGCAGGGACCUGAUGGGCUGGGGUCUCCUGGACCAGGUGCUCUGUGGCCCUGAGUGACUCUGCAGUCAUGCUGCAGUUGCUCCCAUUCUGGUGUCCUGUUCUUGAGAGCUGCCUGUGUGGAGACCUUCCAGCCCCAGGUCAGAGAAAAUAACACUUGGCAGAAGACUGAGCAUCCUCAGUAAAACACCCAUCACUGCUCUACUAAAGCUGAAGAUGGACAUUUCAUGCUGAAUCCUUUCGACUGUGAUGAGGGUGUGGAAGCAGAUCCAUGAGAUGACCAGUAGGACUUGCCUUGGGUCCUGCAUGAAUCAAGGCUACAGCAGGGAACAGGUCAUGGGCCCCUGCCUGCUCUGGGACCUCUCCGCAGGGCAGCAGGGAGUGACACAUUACUCCUCAGGGAUGUGCCAGACCUCUGUGGCCAUACCCUGAAGUGUCAUGGCCCAGAACAUCCUCACCGCCUGGCGACCAUCACCUGAAUCAGCUACUACCCUUUAGAGAUCAGUGGGUUCUCAGCAGGGUGGCAGAGAUCAAGGUGAAAGAGGACAGAUACAUGUGUCACCUGGCCAACUACUAGUACUGCCACAGCUACUUGUUAAUUCACAUGGAACAUGGCUGAAAGAUUGAGUUUAAAGACACUCAAACCUCAGUGCUGCCCAGCAUGCAGCAGCCCGUGAAGGUCCAAGGACAAGUUGUGGAUAUCUGUAGUUGUCAUGUCCUUAGGGGACCUGUGAGGGGUGAGGAGGGACAGACUUGGGAAGAUGACUAUUGCCUUCCUCUCCUAACAACCGGAAAGAAGUACCGAGUGGUUUGCAGAGUUUUCUGAAGAAAGGAAGAGCUUUCUUGAGCUAGAGCUGACUUCCCAUUUGCAGAGGAAAAUUGCAAAUGUGCAAAGUGUGAAUGAGGAACCAACGGCACAUGGUCACAAAGAGAGACUCAACCUAGAGAGGGUGAGA